rnacentral:rRNA from 1 species
GACGAACGCUGGCGGCGUGCUUAACACAUGCCAGUCGAACGGAAAGGCCGUGCUUUUGUGGGGUGAUCGAGUGGCGAACGGGUGAGUAACACGUGAGUAACCUGCCCUUGACUUUGGGAUAACUUCAGGAAACGGGGGCUACUACCGGAUAGGAGCUCCUGCUGCAUGGUGGGGGUUGGAAAGUUUCGGCGGUUGGGGAUGGACUCGCGGCUUACCGGCUUGUUGGUGGGGUAGUGGCUUAUCCAGGCUUUGACGGGUAGCCGGCCUGAGAGGGUGACCGGCGACAUUGGGACUGAGAGACGGCCCAGACUCGUACGGGAGGCAGCAGUGGGAAGUAUUGCACAAUGGGCGGAAGCCUGAUGAAGCAACGCCGCGUGCGGGAUGACGGCCUUCGGGUUGUAAACCGCUUUCGCCUGUGACGAAGCGUGAGUGACGGUAAUGGGUAAAGAAGCACCGGCUAACUACGUG